rnacentral:tRNA from 1 species
UUAGGAAAAGUAUAACUUGGUGUAUAAGUAGUUUACAACUACUAGGUAAAUAAAAAAUUUUUUCUAAU